rnacentral:rRNA from 1 species
AGUAACGCGUGAGGAACCUGCCUUCCAGAGGGGGACAACAGUUGGGAAACGACUGCUAAUACCGCAUGAUGCGUUGGAGCCGCAUGACUCCGACGUCAAAGAUUUUAUCGCUGGAAGAUGGCCUCGCGUCUGAUUAGCUAGUUGGUGAGGUAACGGCCCACCAAGGCGACGAUCAGUAGCCGGACUGAGAGGUUGGCCGGCCACAUUGGGACUGAGAUACGGCCCAGACUCCUACGGAAGGCAGCAG